GUCAACUACCCCGCCCUAAAGGGCGAGGCUUGUGGCGACAGUGCGGCAAGCCCAGGUUGACCAGCCUAAGCCCGCCUCACCGGGAAGUUGAAAAGGGCUACGUUGCGUAGAGGUUCAAGACCUACCUUGGGAUGCUUCCUCAGUCCCAGGCUCUAGA
rnacentral:sRNA from 19 species